GACGAACGCUGGCGGCGUGCCUAAUACAUGCAAGUCGAACGAAGUGGCGAACGGGUGAGUAACGCGUAAUCAACCUGCCCUUCAGAGGGGGACAACAGUUGGAAACGACUGCUAAUACCGCAUACUGAAGGAGGGGAUUGCGUCUGAUUAGCUAGUUGGAGGGGUAACGGCCAACCAAGGCGAUGAUCAGUAGCCGGUGUGGGAGGAUGAACGGCCACAUUGGGACUGAGACACGGCCCAGACUCCUAAGGGAGGCAGCAGUGGGGAAGCUUCCGCAAUGGACGAAAGUCUGACGGAGCAACGCCGCGUGAGUGAUGACGGCCUUCGGGUUGUAAAGCUCUGUUAAUCGGGACGCGGUACCGGAAUAGAAAGCCACGGCUAACUACGUGCCAGCCGCCGCGGUAAUAC
rnacentral:rRNA from 1 species